AAUUUUAUAUGGUUUGGAUGAAUAAAGAAGUGAGAAGAGAGAAAUUAAUAAAAAUGAGAAAAUAACAAAUUUACCCUUUUUUACAAGAAAAUAAACUAGUUGAAUGAGGGUAUUGUUGUAAAAUUGUUUAUUUUACUACUUGUCACACAAAUCUCUCCUAAUAUGGAGAGAUUUAUUUUUGGCAGUUACUAACCAUUAUAUUUCCCUCUUUCCUUAUUUCUCUCCUUAUCCAAACUAUAGAAAUAACUAAUUUCUUUGCUAUCUCUCUCUUUCUUAUUUCUCUCUUUUGUAAAUCUACCUAAACAAACA
rnacentral:lncRNA from 1 species